rnacentral:snoRNA from 1 species
CCCUCCUUCAAAAGCAUGUCUGUGGUUCCCUGUCCUCGGACAUGUAAGAAUUGGAGGCAAAGAGAUGUGGGCUUGGAGAAGUCUGGAGCCAGCUCGCUCCCCGCAGGCUCAAGAUCACCCUUGCCGAAGAC